rnacentral:snoRNA from 1 species
AAGUCAUUUCAUAGAGGGCCUGUGCAGUCUACGAAACCAAGAGCUCUUAACACUGUGACCAAAGAUUGAAGUUCUCCAUAGGAUACCACAAUCACUCAAAAAUGUCAUGUUAUCCUAAGGAGAUAUAAGA